UACAGAGGGGGCAAGCGUUAUUCGGAAUUAUUGGGCGUAAAGGGCGCGUAGGCGGCCUGGCAAGUGGAAGGUGAAAUCCCUCGGCUUAACCGAGGAACUGCCCUCCAAACUGCUUGGCUUGAGUCCGGGAGAGGUGAGUGGAAUUCCCAGUGUAGCGGUGAAAUGCGUAGAUAUCUGUAGGAACACCAGUGGCGAAGGCGGUCUCUUGGGGCAUUCUUGACGCUGAGGCGCGAAAGCUGGGGGAGCGAACGGG
rnacentral:rRNA from 1 species